GACGAAGAAGUAAUCAUCAGAAUACUGAGAAGGGAAAGUUAGUCAUUUGGGCUUUAAACCGCCUGGCUUCUCGUAUAUGUUUCUUGGGUGCCUUAAUCAUUUUCUGGUCGGCCUUAUCACUAAAUGUGUCGAGAGAAGACUUCAUUUUCUCUUUUCUCCUUCUUUCUUCUUCGUCUUUCUUCUUAUCUUUCUUUUCCUCUUCUUCUGCGUUCUUCAUCUGUUGAUGAAUAAAUAUGAUGAGUUAGUGGUUCAGAGAGCUAGAGUUGAGAUGAGAGUCCAUAGAUUGGUUGUUAAUGGUAGACUUGAUGUUAUUUGAGCACAGGAUGAGGAUGUUUGAAGAUGGAUUGAUGAAUCAAAGAGCUAGGGUUUCCGUGAAUUGAAUUCGAGUUCUUAGGUGAAAUGAGGGGUGAUUUGGGUUGCUGCUAGUGGAAUAACUUAAGGGUUGUAAUUAAAUUGAAGUUAUGAAUUUGAUUUAGAGUCGAAUUGAAGAGUUAGGGUUUGUGAGAAAGGUCAGGGAAGAUGAAUUUGAUGUAAAGGGGGUUGAAUUAAAGGAUGGGCUCGAUGGUAUUGAAGAGGUUGAUUGAUGUUUUAAGUUUGAAUUCGAGAUUGGAGGUGAUUGAGGUUUGUGUUCUUCAAGAAAUAGGAAUUAAGGUUUCUCUGCUAAUUGAUGAAUGUUUGAAUUGAGGUUUUAAAGGGGAGAUUCGAGUUGGGUUUUGAUCAGGUAUGAAGUAGUAAUGUUUGCAUGGGUUUAAUUUUGAUUUCAGUUCCUCAUGUUCUUCCCCAAAUUAGAAUUAGGGUUUCUGAAUUUAUUGGAAAUUAGAGUGGAGUUGUUUAAAUAGAAAUUAUAGGCUGGGUAUGGUUGAUGUGAGAAGUUAGAAUUAUCUUUUGAACUUAGAAUUAGAAAAUAAAGGAUUUGAGGAUUGUUUUGAGGUUUUGCUGAGAACCGGCGAUGAGGUUGAUUAAAGAUGGGUGUUUGGAGAUUGAUGAAUUUAAGGUUACAACAGUUGGAGUUGAUGAAACAACAAUUCAGGGAAGACUAUUGUUGGGGAAGAGGUUGGUAGUCUGCUAUUGAACUAGUGAUGCAGAUGAAGCUGUUAGUGGAUUUAACUUGAAAGAUAUUGUUUGAAAAGAAUUAUUCUUGUUCAUUUUUGAGAUUAAGUGAAUUCUGAUGAAGCUCAGAAUUUAAUUGAUAUGACAUGGAUCUUUGUUGGUUUGUAGUGAAGUACAAGGUUUCGGAAUGGUAUUCUUUUGGGAGUUGCCGGUGGUUGUAGGUUGAAUUACAAGACUGGUGGAGAUGGAAUUAGAAUUGGUUCGAGUGUGUGUGUUGGUGGUUUAAGGAGUUGUUUAACAGUUCAGUUGAGGGAGUGAACUGAAUUUAGAAGAAGCUGAGUAUUGCCUCAGUUACAGGUAAUCUGUAUUUGAAUUUAAAGUGAAUUAUGAAGUUUAUAUGCAUUGAGUGUAUGAUUGAAGUGUUAAGCUGAAGUUGAUAUUUGUGAACAAUCUGGUAGAACUGAAUGAAGAGAAGUUGGAUGGUUGAGUAUAGAGUUGUAAAUAGUGUUGGCUAUGAAAAGCUUGGAACUGCAAUUGUAGGUAAGCAUAAUAUUUGUAUUUGUGAAUUAGCUAUGGAGUUGCUUUCAAAUGAAUGUUUUGAUGUAAUGAAAUAGAUUGAAGUUGAA